ensembl:lncRNA
UUUGACACAAAGCUGGUGUGACAGGCUCCAAGUGAGACAGCCAACGAGUGGUAGAUUUCGGAGAGCAGAAAGCAGGAAUCCGACCUCCCGGUUCCUUGUUCUAUCAAACAAACUGUCUCCCCCCCCCCUCUGAGCCAAAGGUGGCUGCAGAAGGAAGAGAAAAGCAGCUCAUGCCCUCCGUGUCUUUGUAAGAGAUUAAGGAUCCUGAAGGAUUUCGGUCCAAAGGGAAUAAAAAUAAGUAUUUUUUCACUUGUUUUGUUUUUUUACACCAGUAGCGUGGGUCUUGAGGAGUCUGGAAGUCUCCAGUCUGUCUAGCCUACACAAUGAACAAAUGAAAGAGAAGAAAGUACAGGCAGGGGAGAAGGAAGGGGAAAUGGAGUCAAACUCCCAAAGUGCUGUUUGUGAGUAGCAGCAGCAUAAACACGGCAGCACAAUAUACAGCACAGCAGUAAGCAAAGAGGUGAAGUUCAAGAACAGAGUCAGGGUAUGAGAACCGACAGGGGUCAAACUCUGAGUACCCCCAAAGGGCAGAAGACAAAGAACAAAACAAGGAUCCCUAUACCUUCCCCUUCUGAAAGAGAAGCCCUAAGAAGUGGUGUGAGAUGUGGAGUAAGGCAGACCCAGCCUACGGGAAUGGGAAGGACCAGGCAGCAAGCAGAGCCACAGCUCUCCUUUUUAUUCCUCCUGUGUUGGCUGGGCUUGUGCAGAUGGAUUCACGGAGAGGCAAUGCUGAAGGGAAGGAGAUGGAGUGUCUACAGUUUUAAUGACUACCAGGCCAAUCCCAAGGUAGUCGAUGGCUGCACUACUUUGGCAAUAUACUUUGUACCACGGUACAACUGGAACAGCUUUGUAGCUCCGCAUGGAAGCUCCGACUCCAGCUGAUGUCGUCCCAGCCAGCGCUUGAACCUGUCAGCUGAUGUGUACUAAGAUCACAAACCCC